rnacentral:rRNA from 1 species
CUGAUCCNGCCAUGCCGCGUGCAGGAUGACGGUCCUAUGGAUUGUAAACUGCUUUUAUACGAGAAGAAACACUCCUUCGUGAAGGAGCUUGACGGUAUCGUAAGAAUAAGGAUCGGCUAACUCCGUGCCAGCAGCCGCGGUAAUACGGAGGAUCCAAGCGUUAUCCGGAAUCAUUGGGUUUAAAGGGUCCGUAGGCGGUUUAGUAAGUCAGUGGUGAAAGCCCAUCGCUCAACGGUGGAACGGCCAUUGAUACUGCUAGACUUGAAUUAUUAGGAAGUAACUAGAAUAUGUAGUGUAGCGGUGAAAUGCUUAGAGAUUACAUGGAAUACCAAUUGCGAAGGCAGGUUACUACUAAUAUAUUGACGCUGAUGGACGAAAGCGUGGGUAGCGAACAGGAUUAGAUACCCUGGUAGUCCACGCCGUAAACGAUGGAUACUAGCUGUUGGGAGCAAUCUCAGUGGCUAAGCGAAAGUGAUA